UACGUAGGGUGCAAGCGUUGUCCGGAUUUAUUGGGCGUAAAGAGCUCGUAGGCGGUCUGUCGCGUCGGAUGUGAAAACCCAGGGCUCAACCCUGGGCCUGCAUUCGAUACGGGCAGACUAGAGUACGGGCAGGGGAGACUGGAAUUCCUGGUGUAGGCGGUGAAAAUGCGCAGAUAUCAGGAGGAACACCGGUGGCGAAGGCGGGUCUCUGGGCCGUAAACUGACGCUUGGAGGAGCGAAAGCCGUGGGGGAGCGAAACAGGA
rnacentral:rRNA from 1 species